rnacentral:misc_RNA from 1 species
GAUGAAGAACGCAGCGAAAUGCGAUAAGUAAUGUGAAUUGCAGAAUUCAGUGAAUCAUCGAAUCUUUGAACGCACAUUGCGCCCGCCAGUAUUCUGGCGGGCAUGCCUGUUCGAGCGUCAUUUCAACCAUCAAGCCCCAGGCUUGUGUUGGGGACCUGCGGCUGCCGCAGGCCCUGAAAAGCAGUGGCGGGCUCGCUGUCACACCGAGCGUAGUAGCAUACAUCUCGCUCUGGGCGUGCUGCGGGUUCCGGCCGUUAAACCACCUUCAUAACCCAAGGUUGACCUCGGAUCAGGUAGGAAGACCCGCUGAACUUAAGCAUAUCAAUAAGCGGAGGA